rnacentral:rRNA from 1 species
AUUGAACGCUGGCGGCAGGCCUAACACAUGCAAGUCGAGCGAGCGGCGGACGGGUGAGUAAUGUAUGGGGAUCUGCCUGAUAGAGGGGGAUAACUACUGGAAACGGUAGCUAAUACCGCAUACUAUCGGAUGAACCCAUAUGGGAUUAGCUAGUAGGUGGGGUAACGGAGCACCUAGGCGACGAUAUAUCGCUGGUCUGAGAGUAUGAUAAGCCACACUGGUACUGAGACAAGGUCCAGACUCCUACGGGAGGCAGCAGUGGGGAAUAUUGCACAAUGGGCGCAAGCCUGAUACAGCCAUGCCGCGUGUGUGAAGAAGGUCUUCGGAUUGUAAAGCACUUUGAGUGGGGAGGCGUUACCCACAGGAUAAGCACCGGCUAACUCCGUGCCAGCAGCCGCGGUAAUUC